rnacentral:rRNA from 2 species
AAGACAACUCUCAACAACGGAUAUCUUGGCUCUCGCAACGAUGAAGAACGCAGCGAACUGCGAUACGUAAUGUGAAUUGCAGAAUCCCGUGAAUCAUCGAAUCUUUGAACGCAUAUUGCACUGAAGGCUUCGGCUAACAGUAUGUCUGUCUCAGCGUC